ACAUUGAUCAUAAGCAUUUAGAUAAAGCAUGCAUGGAGCUUCUAGUGAACUUAGUAGGAAGCGAUAUCCAACAAUAGCUUUAACCUGCAUUCUUUUUUAAGAAAAUUUCACGUUAUAACACCCUUGUGACUUUUUCUUUCACAAAUAGACAAAGUGGGCUGGGUCAACCACGUUUUAGCCAUUAGGCCCAAAAUGGCCGAAUUUGCCCUCCAACGAGAAACUGACGGAGGCGGUUUCGUUUCGUGGAACCGGUUCACUUUCCUUAACCGUUUUCUGGUUUCAAAAUAAUUUAAAUAUUUAAAAUUAUUAAUUUUAAAACUGAAAAUAAAUCAAAAACUGUCUUCUUCGAGAAAGCAGAACAGUUCCGUCGAAACGAAGAGUGGUUUCGAAGAACCAGAAAAAUUCCGACAAAACUGAAUCACAAUUCCGAUUGAGGCUCUGUUCGAGUUCUAGUCGUUGCUAAAGUGGAGAAAAUUUCGAUAGGGUUCGUGUUAAAGUGUGGAACAAUAAUACGCUUUUUGGGUUUAUCGAUUAACUGUUCAUAGAAGAGCUCUAAUGGCGGCGACGAGGAAGAGUAGUCGGCGGCGAGGAGUUUCGGAUAUUGAUGAGGCAUCGGCGGCGACGACAAAUCUGGGUUAGUUUUCCCUAACUUCGUUUGGAGAAUGAUUGAUUCAAAAUCUAGGUUAAUUUUAGAGAUUUCAACUCAUAAAUUUUCAAUUGACAAAGGGAUUUUGUUUUUUUCCGCCAAAAACAGUUGAUUGAGUAUAAAAGGUUUCGGUGUACGUGUAUAUGAAAAUCGAGUUUAUGUUUAGUUGGUAUUUGGAUAUAGUGUACGUGUUAAGAACUUCUUCGUCUUGCUCAACUUUCAGGAAGUACUUCUAAUGAUCCGGGUGAAUUACCACAGAGGUUGUUUGCACUCGAUCACUACCCUAGCAAGGCGAAGAUAAAUGCGUACUCCAGAGCGGAGUACAUUGGUCAAAUAGCAGCUGCGCUUAAGGACACACCAGAAAUGACGUUCCUUCUAGAUUCUCCAUUUGGUGACCUCUUUAGGAUCCCUACUAACAAGGCAUCCUUUUCUGGUAAACUUGUUCUUGGAUUAAUAUGCCGUCAGUUAGUUACAAAUAAACGUUAUGAGAUGUGGAUGGUAUUCGCUGGUCAUCCUAUUAGGCUCGGAUUAAGAGAAUGGGCACUUAUAACUGGUUUGGAAUGUGGAACCUAUCCUAAAGAUAAGGAUGUAGAAAGUGUUAUGCAGCGUGAGGAAGGUGAAAAUACAGUGUGGGCUACUCUGUUUGGAGAUGAUAAAGCUAAGCCAACAGUUGAAGAAUUAAGGGAUAGAUUGAUUUCUGAAACUGACAUGCCUGCAUGGAAGAAAUUAGCUCUCGCCCUAAUUAUCAUUGUGGAUGGUGUGCUAAUAUGUGACAAGUCUCCUCCUUUGAGACCAAAUGAGAUGACAGUUGAGCUGACGAAGAACCUUGAUUUCUUCUGUAAAUAUCCCUGGGGAAGGACAUCAUUUCUGCUUACUUUGGAGCGUAUCGCAAGUUUCAAAGGAGACACCGACGUUAAAAAACUCCGGAGUGGUUGCAAGCAACAUUCUUAUGCACUCCAUGGCUUCCCACUUGGACUCCAACUCCUUGCAUUCGCAACUAUACCGUCUAUUGCUAGUCUCCUACCUUCUGAAGGAGAUACCGCCGUGUUUACAGAGAGGACUAUUAAAAACCUUUCCAAAUUGCGUCCAAUCAAGACAUCCACCAUAUUGGCGUGCGAGUCUGCUGAACAGGUUUGUGCAGUUGUUGUUGUACGUACAUUGGUAUAAAAAAAUGAAGUACAUACACUCUGAAAUUAACAAUGAUCGUCUAUGUAGGUGGAUAUCACAUAUAUUGUGGACCCAGCAGACAGUAAUUGCCCAAAAUCUUUUGUAUGGAGGAAAGAAAAAGAGGACCCAAGAGUUGAUAACAUUUUAAGGAUGUUGAAAUCUGAGCAGGAGUGGAAUAAAAAAAUGUGGGUUGGAGGCGAUGAUGCGCCUAAGAAGCAAGUCCGGCCCUCAGCAACUGGAGAGAGAGGUAACCAUAUCUUUUCAUCGUAUAACUUAUAUCAGAAUUAGGUUCCUCUAAGAGUAGUAAUGCAUGAUUUAACCGUUUAAUAUAGUUAUUUUGAAGAGGCAAAGACGGGUGUCAGAUCCUGUUGAAAACAAAAAAAGGAAAAUUAGUCACUCUGAUGAUGGUGAAGGUGGACCCAGUGGUGGUGAUGGUGAAGGUGGACCAAGUGGUGGUGAUGGUGAAGGUGGACCAAGUGGUGGUGAUGGUGAAGGUGGACCAAGUGGUGGUGAUGGUGAAGGUGGACCCAAUGGUGCUGAUGGUGAAGGUGGACCCAAUGGUGCUGAUGGUGAAGUUGGAGACGAAGCGUUCGAUAAGUAUGCGGGCGAAUUGAGGAGUUUCUUCAAGAGGCAAACACAACUUUUGGAUAAAAAGUUUGAAGAUUUAAAAGUAUUUGUCCGUGAAGAGAUACGUGCUGCUCUACAGUCCCAGGACCGAAAGGAAGAAGGCCCACGAUCAUCUCACAAAUCUGAUUCACCAUCUGAGAAGGUUGAGAGGGUGACCAAAACUGUUGAGAAGGUGAACAAAAGGGUUGAGAAGGCGAACAAAAGAGUUGAGAAGGCAGCUGAACAGGUACAGAGAAAAUCUGUAAAGAAAUCCACCAAACCAAGAAAAUUUGUUCCAAGAAGAUCUUCCAGGUUGAACAAUACUCCCAAGAAGGCUGCAACUGGUAGUCUUCCUGUCGAGGUACGUCUACAGCAUGUACCUUGUGUAAAUACAAUCGAAAAAAGGUUUUUAUUAUGUGUACGUACAACCAAAUACUUAGGAAUGCGUUAUUGGUGUUUAUUCACAGGAGGUACCAGGCAAUGAUGGGGAUGGCGAAGUUUCAGCAAAACAGACCGUCUCUGACUAUGAUAUGGAAAACAUAUAUUUGGGUGGAGCAUCAUCAACUGAAGAGGUAACUCACUUGUGUAAUAGUCAUGUUAUAAUUUAUGCCUUAUUAUACGUACAAAAAGAAAUAUUACUGACCAAUUGUAUGGUUUUGAUUUCGAAGGAGGAAGGAGGGAACUCGGAGAUUGAAGAAGAUUCUUCAAAGUUACACCAAAAUGUAUCUGACUCUGUAAUGGAAGACAAUGUCGAUCGUGUUCCAUCACCAUCUCACCAGGUAACUUGUGUUCUUAUUAUUUCAUUAUUGUAUGUACAAAAUAUUUUAUGUUCUUAAUGUUCUUACUUUUGACAUAACAGCCCGAACAUGGCAUUCCUGAUGGUGGUAACUUUGAACAACUCUUGCCUGACCCAAUACUGUCUGACCCAGCCCUUGAGAAAAUGUCAGAUGAUGUAUCUUCCUCGUCCCAUCAGGUACAGGGUACGUACUACUAAUUUUUGUGUACGUACAUAUUAUUUCUAAUUUGUAUGCUUUGCAUUUGUAUAGGACGUUCAGAAAGGACUUGGUGGAAAUCCUGAAGAAGAAGUUGUUGCUCCUGAGUCACAACAGUUGGAGGAGCCACAAUCACCGGAGGUCAAGGUUAGGCAAGAAUUUGCUUUUGAAGUUACAGAAGAUGGCAAUCCCAGUGUACGUACAAUGUUUUUGAAAUCUGUUUCGCACCUUUGAAUGUUUUGCUGUGAGUUUGACUAAUACAAUGGCCAUCCAUCUCCAUAUAAUGAGGUCAGGCUGAAACAAUUUGUGGGGAAGGAGAGGAAGCUUUGAAGGAGGAUAAAUCUCCAACCGUUGUAGAUGAAGCCUUGGAGGUAUGUGUUACUAUUUUGCUCUUUGUAACGCUUAUUUGCCAAUUAGAGAUAUAACCAA
rnacentral:sRNA from 1 species